rnacentral:hammerhead_ribozyme from 1 species
AUCCAGCUGACGAGUACUAUGUAGGACGAAACACGUGUCCUGGAU